UAUACAUGCAAGUCGUGGGGCAGCAUGGGGUAGCAAUACUCUGAUGGCGACCGGCAAACGGGUGCGGAACACGUACGCAACCUUCCCAAAACUGGUGAAUAGCCCUCCGAAAGGAGGAUUAAUACACCGUAACAUAACGAAGUGGCAUCACUUUGUUAUUAUAGCUCCGGCGGUUUUGGAUAGGCGUGCGCCUGAUUAGGUAGUUGGCGGGGUAACGGCCCACCAAGCCUACGAUCAGUAACUGGUGUGAGAGCACGACCAGUCACACGGGCACUGAGACACGGGCCCGACUCCUACGGGAGGCAGCAGUAAGGAAUAUUGGUCAAUGGACGAAAGUCUGAACCAGCCAUGCCGCGUGAAGGAUGAAGGUCCUCUGGAUUGUAAACUUCUUUUAUCUGCGACGAAAAAAGGGAAUUCUUUCUCACUUGACGGUACCAGAAGAAUAAGCACCGGCUAACUCCGUGCCAGCAGCCGCGGUAAUACGGAGGGUGCAAGCGUUAUCCGGAUUCACUGGGUUUAAAGGGUGCGUAGGUGGGCAGUUAAGUCAGUGGUGAAAUCUCCGGGCUUAACCCGGAAACUGCCAUUGAUACUAUCUGUCUUGAAUACUCUGGAGGUAAGCGGAAUAUGUCAUGUAGCGGUGAAAUGCUUAGAUAUGACAUAGAACACCGAUUGCGAAGGCAGCUUACUACGGAGUCAUUGACACUGAGGCACGAAAGCGUGGGGAUCAAACAGGAUUAGAUACCCUGGUAGUCCACGCCCUAAACGAUGGAUACUCGACAUUUGCGAUACACAGUAAGUGUCUGAGCGAAAGCAUUAAGUAUCCCACCUGGGAAGUACGACCGCAAGGUUGAAACUCAAAGGAAUGACGGGGGUCCGCACAAGCGGUGGAGCAUGUGGAUUAAUUCGAUGAUACGCGAGGAA
rnacentral:rRNA from 1 species